rnacentral:rRNA from 1 species
AUGACUAUCAGGGUUGAGAAGGCGACGCAGCUGCUAGAGAGUGCCCUGAAGGUGAAGGAGUACGAGCUCCUCAGGAGGAACUUCAAUGACACCGGAUGCUUUGGCUUCGGUAUCUAG